CGAAUUCGUAGAUUUGCAUUUUUUUUUUUUUUUGAAAUCCGAAUUUGGAGCAAUAUUUAGUGAUUUUAGAUGAAGUAUAUAUGAUGAAUUGGGAUUUGACUUAGGAGAAAACUCGUUAAACUUACAUUGUUAUUUUUCAAAAAGUUACCAGAUUUAGUUUCAGGAGCUAUUGUUCUUUUGUAUCAGCGCUAUUAGUGCGUAGUAGAUACUCAGAUUAGUGUAGGAUGAUAUUACGAUCGUGCUGUGGGGGCUGAGCUCGUUUUACAGUAGUGUUUGGACUGUUCUGUACUGUCGGAUGCCGUCGUGGUUGACAGUG
rnacentral:lncRNA from 1 species